AUUAUUUAUUUUUUUUUUUGAAAAAAAAUUUAAAAAAAAUUAAAAAGACAAAACAAACAAUGUUUUCCAAGCUGCUACUGCUAAGUUAUUUGUUUACCUGUUGCGUGAGGUUGACAAGGGGUUAUGUCGUGAUGAACAUGAAGCCAUCGAAAUUGAAAAAUUUCGCUCAGAACAAGUUCCCAGAGAUUCCAAAUGAAGGCUA
rnacentral:ribozyme from 1 species